GACGAACGCUGGCGGCGUGCUUAACACAUGCAAGUCUUACGAGAAAGUUCUUCGGAAUGAGUAAAGUGGCGUACGGGUGCGUAACACGUAGGUAACCUGCCUUUGAGAGGGGGAUAACAUGCCGAAAGGCGUGCUAAUACCACAUAAUGUCUCCGAAACUACGGUUUUGGCGAGUCAACAGAUGGCCUCUAUUUAUAAGCUAUCGCUCGAAGAUGGGCCUGCGCACCAUUAGCUAGUUGGUAGGGUAACGGCUACCAAGGCUAUGAUGGUUAGCUGGUCUGAGAGGACGACCAGCCACACUGGAACUGAGACACGGUCCAGACUCCUACGGGAGGCAGCAGUGGGGAAUCUUGGACAAUGGGGAAACCCUGAUCCAGCAACGCCGUGUGAGU
rnacentral:rRNA from 1 species